rnacentral:rRNA from 1 species
UAGGCGCACGGGUGAGUAACACGUAGGUAAUGUGCCUUUUGGGUGGGGAAUAACUUAGGGAAACUUAAGCUAAUACCGCAUAAUGCGAUAACUUCUUCGGAAGAUUUUGUUAAAGAUUUAUCGCCUGAAGAGCAGCCUGCGGCAGGAUUAGCUAGUUGGUAAGGUAACGGCUUACCAAGGCUACGAUCUGUAUCCGACCUGAGAGGGUGGUCGGACACACUGACACUGAAUAACGGGUCAG